rnacentral:tRNA from 1 species
GCGUCCGUAGUCUAACCUGGUACGCUUGGUGCAGGAAAGGACACGAGCUUCCCAAGCUCGGUACUCGGGUUCAAAUAAACAUGGAAAUCCCGACGGGCGCA